AAAUACCAUUGUUAGAAAAUCAUACUCCGAUUGACUUCCGUGGGACGGCGGUCCGGGCCGACCUGAAGGACUUUAGGAGUUGCUGGGUCUGGUUUCGGAGGCGGUCCAUCUGAAGCUGAAGCGUGAGCCGGAAGGACGAGUGCGAACUCUGGGUGUGUUUGAUGUGCUCAUCCAAACGGUCCUGCAGGGUGGCGCUCAGCACCUCCAGACUGACGCCGGCAAGCGGAACGACGCCGACUUCCAUCUUGGCCAGCGCGGCAGUCAGCCUUCGGUUCUUGUCGUCGGUGGACGACUGCAGCUCCCGCAGCGACGCCGCGCAGGACUUCAGCAUGUUCGACACUUCCCGGCAGUGAGCUUCCACGCGCUGCUUGUGAAGCUGGAGCUCCGCUAAGGUCGUUGGCAAACUGCUUGCAGGAGCAGCUCGAUGGGGAAGGAGCUCAGGUGUGUUUCUUGUUGCUUGCUCAUGUUGCCGGGGAGAUCGGAGGCUGGGCAUCUGAAAGCGGGGCCGGUGUAGGCCACACCCCUGGAAGAUUUCAAGUUGACCUUGCUGCCGAGGUCGUAGAGGUCCAGGAGAGAUGACUCGGCCUGAAGGCCCGCUUGUUAGUGUCGGCUCGUUCCGAGUGGCCGAUUGCAAACAGACCUCACCUCGGCCAGCGAAUCGGAAGACCCUGGCUCCGCGUCGUUUCGACGGCCAAUCGCUUCUUCUUCUGAAAUAUUGCCCGCUGGAUGACUCUCUAAACACACGCACGAAAAUUUAUCGGCGAGGCCAGCAUAAUGACAUCGUCACCACGCAGACAAACCUCGAACGUUGCCUUUGACCUUGUCAUCGACGGCCGGCAACUUCUUCAGGUCUUCGGGACU